rnacentral:rRNA from 1 species
GAUGAACGCUAGCUACAGGCUUAACACAUGCAAGUCGAGGGGCAGCAUCAUCAAAGCUUGCUUUGAUGGAUGGCGACCGGCGCACGGGUGAGUAACACGUAUCCAACCUGCCGACAACACUGGGAUAGCCUUUCGAAAGAAAGAUUAAUACCGGAUGGCAUAAUUAUUCCGCAUGGGAUAAUUAUUAAAGAAUUUCGGUUGUCGAUGGGGAUGCGUUCCAUUAGGCAGUUGGCGGGGUAACGGCCCACCAAACCUACGAUGGAUAGGGGUUCUGAGAGGAAGGUCCCCCACAUUGGAACUGAGACACGGUCCAAACUCCUACGGGAGGCAGCAGUGAGGAAUAUUGGUCAAUGGACGAGAGUCUGAACCAGCCAAGUAGCGUGAAGGAUGACUGCCCUAUGGGUUGUAAACUUCUUUUAUACGGGAAUAAAGUGAGCCACGUGUGGCUUUUUGUAUGUACCGUAUGAAUAAGGAUCGGCUAACUCCGUGCCAGCAGCCGCGGUAAUACGGAGGAUCCGAGCGUUAUCCGGAUUUAUUGGGUUUAAAGGGAGCGUAGGCGGGUUGUUAAGUCAGUUGUGAAAGUUUGCGGCUCAACCGUAAAAUUGCAGUUGAUACUGGCGACCUUGAGUGCAACAGAGGUAGGCGGAAUUCGUGGUGUAGCGGUGAAAUGCUUAGAUAUCACGAAGAACUCCGAUUGCGAAGGCAGCUUACUGGAUUGUAACUGACGCUGAUGCUCGAAAGUGUGGGUAUCAAACAGGAUUAGAUACCCUGGUAGUCCACACAGUAAACGAUGAAUACUCGCUGUUGGCGAUAUACAGUCAGCGGCCAAGCGAAAGCAUUAAGUAUUCCACCUGGGGAGUACGCCGGCAACGGUGAAACUCAAAGGAAUUGACGGGGGCCCGCACAAGCGGAGGAACAUGUGGUUUAAUUCGAUGAUACGCGAGGAACCUUACCCGGGCUUAAAUUGCAACUGACGGAACCGGAAACGGUUCUUUCUUCGGACAGUUGUGAAGGUGCUGCAUGGUUGUCGUCAGCUCGUGCCGUGAGGUGUCGGCUUAAGUGCCAUAACGAGCGCAACCCUUACGGGUAGUUACCAUCAGGUUAUGCUGGGGACUCUACCCGGACUGCCGUCGUAAGAUGUGAGGAAGGUGGGGAUGACGUCAAAUCAGCACGGCCCUUACGUCCGGGGCUACACACGUGUUACAAUGGGGGGUACAGAAGGCAGCUACACGGCGACGUGGUGCUAAUCCCAAAAGCCUCUCUCAGUUCGGAUUGGAGUCUGCAACCCGACUCCAUGAAGCUGGAUUCGCUAGUAAUCGCGCAUCAGCCACGGCGCGGUGAAUACGUUCCCGGGCCUUGUACACACCGCCCGUCAAGCCAUGAAAGCCGGGGGUACCUGAAGUACGUAACCGCGAGGAGCGUCCUAGGG